GGAGAAGAAACAUCAUCUGCUCAGGGCUGGGAAGUUCUGCGCCACCUGUACAAGAAGCAAAUGUGACUCUGGAUCCAGACACGGCUCAUCCCCACCUCAUCCUGUCUGAGGAUGGGAAAAGUGUGAGAUGGGGAGACAAACGGC